CAUUAUCAACCAUCAAGCCCUGCUUGGUAUUGGGUGUCGUCCCCCUCAGGGACGUGCCUUAAACGCUUCGGCGGCGGUCUCAAACCUCAAGCGUAGUAGAAUCUUUUAUUUAGCUUUUUAGGUUUGCGACUGCUUCGCCUCGAGAAACCAUUUACCUCAAGGUUGACCUCGGAUCAGGUAGGGAUACCCGCUGAACUUAA
rnacentral:misc_RNA from 1 species